rnacentral:misc_RNA from 1 species
UCCGGUUUGUCACCGGCAGUCUCGCAUGAGUCCCCAACUGAAUGCUGGCAACAUGCGACGGGGGUUGCGCUCGUUGCGGGACUUAACCCAACAUCUCACGACACGAGCUGACGACAGCCAUGCACCACCUGUGAAGGUGCCCCGAAGGGAAGACGUGUUUCCACGCCGGUCACCUACAUGUCAAGCCCAGGUAAGGUUCUUCGCGUUGCGUCGAAUUAAACCACAUAAUCCACCGCUUGUGCGGGUCCCCGUCAAUUCCUUUGAGUUUUAGCCUUGCGGCCGUACUCCCCAGGCGGUCAACUUCACGCGUUAGCUUCGUUACCAAGGAAUUACUUCCCCGACAACUAGUCAUCAUCGUUUAGGGCGUGGACUAC